rnacentral:rRNA from 1 species
UACGUAGGGUGCAAGCGUUGUCCGGAAUUAUUGGGCGUAAAGAGCUCGUAGGCGGUUUGUUGCGUCGGCUGUGAAAUCCCGAGGCUCAACCUCGGGUCUGCAGUCGAUACGAGCAAACUAGAGUGUUGCAGGGGAGACUGGAAUUCCUGGUGUAGCGGUGAAAUGCGCAGAUAUCAGGAGGAGCACCGGUGGCGAAGGCGGGUCUCUGGGCAGUAACUGACGCUGAGGAGCGAAAGCGUGGGGAGCGAACAGG